rnacentral:ncRNA from 2 species
GGGAACCAUAUCCCUGCGGGUCGCCCCUCCGGGCGACAGGGAAGACGGUGCGAGUCCGUCGCGGUCCCGCCGCUGUAGCCGGGGACAAAGGCCGCUUGACGUCACUAUCCGGAAAGGAUGGGAAGGCGCGGCCGGAGAAUGAUCCGGAAGCCAGAAGACCUGCCCGCAGGCUGUCCUGUUG